rnacentral:rRNA from 1 species
CGUAGACGAAAUGCUGACAACACCUAGGAGGAUCCUGAGUACGGCGGAACACGAGAAAUUCCGUCGGAAUCCGCGGGGACCAUCCCGCAAGGCUAAAUACUCCCUAGUGACCGAUAGUGAACCAGUACCGUGAGGGAAAGGUGAAAAGCACCCCGGAAGGGGAGUGAAAUAGAUCCUGAAACCGUGUGCCUACAACAAGUCAAAGCUCGUUAAUGAGUGAUGGCGUGCCUUUUGUAGAAUGAACCGGCGAGUUACGAUUGCAUGCGAGGUUAAGUCGAAGAGACGGAGCCGCAGCGAAAGCGAGUCUGAAUAGGGCGAAUGAGUAUGUAGUCGUAGACCCGAAACCAUGUGAUCUACCCAUGUCCAGGUUGAAGGUGCGGUAAAACGCACUGGAGGACCGAACCCACGUACGUUGAAAAGUGCGGGGAUGAGGUGUGGGUAGCGGAGAAAUUCCAAACGAACUUGGAGAUAGCUGGUUCUCUCCGAAAUAGCUUUAGGGCUAGCCUCGGAAUUGAGAAUGAUGGAGGUAGAGCACUGUUUGGACUAGGGGCCCAUCUCGGGUUACCGAAUUCAGAUAAACUCCGAAUGCCAUUCAUUUAUAUCCGGGAGUCAGACUGCGAGUGAUAAGAUCCGUAGUCGAAAGGGAAACAGCCCAGACCACCAGCUAAGGUCCCAAAAUAUAUGUUAAGUGGAAAAGGAUGUGGGGUUGCACAGACAACUAGGAUGUUGGCUUAGAAGCAGCCACCAUUUAAAGAGUGCGUAAUAGCUCACUAGUCGAGUGACCCUGCGCCGAAAAUGUACCGGGGCUAAACAUAUUACCGAAGCUGUGGACUACACCAUUAGGUGUAGUGGUAGGAGAGCGUUCUAAGGGCGUUGAAGGUCGAUCGUGAGGACGGCUGGAGCGCUUAGAAGUGAGAAUGCCGGUAUGAGUAGCGAAAGACAGGUGAGAAUCCUGUCCACCGUAUGACUAAGGUUUCCUGGGGAAGGCUCGUCCGCCCAGGGUUAGUCGGGACCUAAGCCGAGGCCGAUAGGCGUAGGCGAUGGACAACAGGUUGAUAUUCCUGUACCAGUUGUUUUUGUUUGAGCAAUGGAGGGACGCAGUAGGCUAAGGAAUGCAUGCGAUUGGAAGUGCAUGUCCAAGCAAUGAGUCUUGAG